rnacentral:rRNA from 1 species
AACGCGAAGAACCUUACCAGGGCUUAAAUGUAGUCUGACAGGGGUGGAAACACCCUUUUCUUCGGACAGAUUACAAGGUGCUGCAUGGUUGUCGUUAGCUCGUGCCGUGAGGUGUCAGGUUAAGUCCUAUAACGAGCGCAACCCCUGUUGUUAGUUGCCAGCGAGUCAAGUCGGGAACUCUAACAAGACUGCCGGUGCAAACCGUGAGGAAGGUGGGGAUGACGUCAAAUCAUCACGGCCCUUACGUCCUGGGCCACACACGUGCUACAAUGGCAGGUACAAUGGGCAGCCACUGCGUAAGCAGGAGCGAAUCCACAAAACCUGUCUCAGUUCGGAUCGGGGUCUGCAACUCGACCCCGUGAAGCUAGAAUCGCUAGUAAUCGGAUAUCAGCCAUGAUCCGGUGAAUACGUUCCCGGGUCUUGUACACACCG